UGGUGGUGGUGUAAGGUGCUUCUUUGAAUAUAUGGUAUUUUUUUCCAAUUAUAUUUAGUUUUCAGGUUCAAUUUUCCUCUAAAUUUCAAUUAGGUUCAGUUUUUAUUUAUUAACGAAUUUGGAUAUUGAUCAUCUAAUAGUGGAAGUGGUAAGAAAGCUAUAUGCAUCUUUUUAUCCUACUGAUUUUUUCAAUUUUUGUUUAUAUGUUAAUGUCUUUUUUGUUUCAUAUGUUAAUGACUUUCACUAUCNN
rnacentral:lncRNA from 1 species